ensembl:lncRNA novel transcript
GGUAGCCAUCUUCAUGGUGCUGGCAGGGCUUCUAGGCAUGGUGGCCCACAUGAUGUACACAACCAUUUUUCAAAUCACUGUGAACCUUGGACCAGAAGAUUGGAAGCCUCAGACCUGGGACUAUGGCUGGUCAUAUUGAACAAGAUGGGAGUCAUGGCCAUGCUGAUGCUCCCCCUGCUGCUGCUGGGAAUCAGCGGCCUCC